CAAUUUUCCAGAGAUGCCAAUCAACCUACCAUGCAUGUCUUUGGACCGGGGGAGGAAACCGGAGUACCCUGACGAAACCCCUGAGGCACGGGGAGAACAUGCAAACUCCACACACACAAAUUUGUCAGGUGAAAUUUUAAUCUUGAUGUUACAUCAUGGAUUAAACAAGGAUUAAGAGCGUUUACCCCACACGAAAUACCGACAGGCGGCAAUUUGAAUAAUUUGUGUUGCGUAAUUGCGCCAUUAUGUGAGAAGAAUAGACGCACUCUCGUGGUGAACAGUUGCUUCAUCUGGCAGCCUGCGUUUUCUUUUAGUCUCGUCUAAAGACUUCGGUGCUUUGCUCCGUUGCUUUGAGCUGGGAUUUAGCCACCAUCGUGUCUUCUGCUUGGAUGAGUUCACACAGUCAGUAUGUAAGGAAUGUAAUUAGGUUUUUGAAAUGAUCUGCUGCCAUUGUUGCUUUCCAUUUAAAGCCCCAACCACAUUACUGGUCAAUCCUCUUAGAUAUUGUCCUUCAGCACUGCAUACACUCAACAUCUGCUUCCAUCACAAACAGGUGGACUGAAUGAAGAGAAAAAAAACACAAGUUAGAUGUUAAUAGCAGAGAACAGAAGUUUGUUUGGAUCCUCUGGCCAUCGUCACACAGACAGUUAUUCUACAAUCUGAAUCGUCCAGGGUCAAAAACAUGGACGUGAAAUAGGACUGGAAGAGAAACAUCCCAGUGCAUUCUCGAAGACGGGACGUCCCAUUACUGCGUCAGAACUGGACAUGGUUUUGGGAAAAGGUUUAUACUAAAGAUAUUUGAGCUGUGUGAUGUCAUCAGCCGAGAGCUUACACCGAGGCCAUAUGGCUGACUGCCUGCUGCUCUAAUCCAAUCACAACCUGCUCUUCCUGUCACACACACACACACACACACACACACACACACACACACACACACACACACACACAAGCAGGAAUGUAUAUGAAUUCAUGCUGACACUUGUACGCAUAUGCACACUCAUCAACAGUCAGUCAUAUCACUCUUGUACACACAUGCUAACAUACAGACUCUACAAUAUACAGGCCAUUAAACUCAA